UUCGCCCUUUUCCGGUUGAUCCCGCCGGAGGUUACUGCUAUCGGUGUUCGACUAAGCCAUGCGAGUCAAAUGUUCUUCGUGAACAUGGCGGACUGCUCAGUAACACGUGGAUAACCUGCCCUUAGGUUCGGCAUAACUCCGGGAAACUGGAGAUAAUUCCGAAUAGGUCAAAUAUGCUGGAAUGCUUUUUGGCCAAAAGACUUCGGUUGCCUAAGGAUGGAUCUGCGGUCUAUCAGGUUGUAGUGGGUGUAACGUACCUACUAGCCUACGACGGAUAUGGGUUGUGAGAGCAAGAGCCCAGAGAUGGAUUCUGAGACAUGAAUCCAGGCCCUACGGGGCGCAGCAGGCGCGAAAACUUUACAAUGCGGGAAACCGCGAUAAGGGGACACCGAGUGCCAGCAUUUAUGUUGGCUGUCCACAUGUGUAAACGGCAUGUGUUAGCAAGGGCCGGGCAAGACCGGUGCCAGCCGCCGCGGUAACACCGGCGGCCCGAGUGGUAAUCACUUUUAUUGGGUCUAAAGGGUCCGUAGCCGGUUUGAUCAGUUCUUCGGGAAAUCUGACAGCUCAACUGUUAGGCUUCCGGGGAAUACUGUCAGACUUGGGACCGGGAGAGGUAAGAGGUACUACA
rnacentral:rRNA from 1 species